rnacentral:rRNA from 1 species
AUGUGCCCAGAUGGGAUUAGCUAGUAGGUGGGGUAACGGCUCACCUAGGCGACGAUCCCUAGCUGGUCUGAGAGGAUGACCAGCCACACUGGAACUGAGACACGGUCCAGACUCCUACGGGAGGCAGCAGUGGGGAAUAUUGCACAAUGGGCGCAAGCCUGAUGCAGCCAUGCCGCGUGUAUGAAGAAGGCCUUCGGGUUGUAAAGUACUUUCAGCGGGGAGGAAGGGAGUAAAGUUAAUACCUUUGCUCAUUGACGUUACCCGCAGAAGAAGCACCGGCUAACUCCGUGCCAGCAGCCGCGGUAAUACGGAGGGUGCAAGCGUUAAUCGGAAUUACUGGGCGUAAAGCGCACGCAGGCGGUUUGUUAAGUCAGAUGUGAAAUCCCCGGGCUCAACCUGGGAACUGCAUCUGAUACUGGCAAGCUUGAGUCUCGUAGAGGGGGGUAGAAUUCCAGGUGUAGCGGUGAAAUGCGUAGAGAUCUGGAGGAAUACCGGUGGCGAAGGCGGCCCCCUGGACGAAGACUGACGCUCAGGUGCGAAAGCGUGGGGAGCAAACAGGAUCAGAUACCCUGGUAGUCCACGCCGUAAACGAUGUCGACUUGGAGGUUGUGCCCUUGAGGCGUGG